rnacentral:rRNA from 1 species
UACGGGGGGAGCAAGCGUUGUUCGGAUUUACUGGGCGUAAAGGGCGCGUAGGCGGUCGUGACAAGUCACUUGUGAAAUCUCCGGGCUUAACUCGGAACGGUCAAGUGAUACUGUCGGACUAGAGUACAGAAGGGGCAACUGGAAUUCUCGGUGUAGCGGUGAAAUGCGUAGAUAUCGAGAGGAACACCUGCGGCGAAGGCGGGUUUGCUGGGCUGAUACUGACGCUGAGGCGCGAAAGCCAGGGGAGCGAACGGG